UACGUAGGGGGCAAGCGUUGUCCGGAUUUAUUGGGCGUAAAGAGCGUGUAGGCGGCCAGGGAGGUCCGUUGUGAAAACUCGAGGCUCAACCUCGAGACGCCGAUGGAAACCCCCUGGCUAGAGUCCGGAAGAGGAGAAUGGAAUUCCUGGUGUAGCGGUGAAAUGCGCAGAUAUCAGGAAGAACACCCGUGGCUAAGGCGGUUCUCUAGUACGGUAACUGACGCUGGAGACGCGAAAGCGUGGGGAGCGAACAGG
rnacentral:rRNA from 1 species